CAGUGUUUCCCGGGGUGUUUCCUGACUGGUGCUGGCCAGGCCUUUCAGGAAUCUGAGAUUAUACCCGUAAAACCUGAUCAGGGUAAUGCCUGCGCAGGGAAGGAGGUCAUGCUAUGCC
rnacentral:ncRNA from 2 species